ACAGUCCCCCUGAAAGAAACCUUACGGUAAAUUCCUUGUUUGUUUCAUUUGUCUCAGGUUUCUGUUUUCCCCUCCUUGAAAUUGCAGCCCUUAUGUUUGCAGCAGAUUCUUAUGCAUCAGCUGCCACCGUAUGCCUGUAAAUGAAAGACACGAUUGCAAACAUUUCUCCCAGCAGAACCUUGUAACUGCUAAAUUAUACUCGUAAAUAUUUAAAAAAUGCUGGAUUCAUUUAAUUUGUUACAUUAAUUUGAGUAAUAAUGAAAUACUGUAAUAGCCUUACAUAGUUAAGCCUUCAGAUCCCUCACAGCUACACCCGUUUGGACUUCCUGCUUGGAAUUCCCAGUAUUUGUCAGUGUAGAGCGGGAAAUGAACAACCUAAAUACUGGCAAUACAGUGCCGGAAGCGAUGAUCUCCCUGCUCCGCUAACCGGGCCAUUUAACAUAAUUCGAAACCGAAAACAGUCUAGUCCACCCCUCUGUUGCGUCAGUCCAUUCACAGAGCUAUUGGCUCAUUCCGCCGCCCACGGCCAACAUCACAAAGACCUCAGACCAGUUUAAAUCAUGACCAGGCACUGUAGUUGUUCAGACAACUUCUGCUUCAGGAUUCUUUCAACGCGCUUGCUUUUCAAUUCGAAGAAGCAAUUUCGAAUUCAAUUCGAAUUUUGUGCAGUACUGAAAUACUACUAAAGACCGUUGAUUUAUUCUGAAAGUAUACAUGCAAGCAUUUUGUUCUGAUUUAACUGUCGAAAAGCAUCCGUGCACUUGGAGAUGCCAGCUGCUGUCAUGGACAACUUUGACCAGGGAAGUCCUUUCUCUCAAAGUGAUUCUCAAAGUCCUCUUGAUUGGAGCACACAGUCAGAGGACCACAGGCACCAUCACAGAGAGAAAAACAGAGAUGCAGCUCGCAAGAAUCGCAGAAAACAGACAGAAAAGGCAGACAUGCUGCAUGAGGAACUCCAAACCCUAGAGCAGUCUAAUACCGCAUUCAUAAAAGAAAUCGCUGAACUAAAGAAGGAGCUUCAAUUCUACACCACAGCCUUGGAACAACAUAUACCUCACUGCACUAAACUGUGUCCAUUUGAACCAUCAGUUAGUGUUACAGGAGGACUGUCCACAGCUACACCCUCUACCUCAGAUAUCACCUUCAACUCUGACCCCAACCUCUUGCCGGAACUUGCGUUCUUACCAGACACUAAUUCAGGGGACCUAUCUCUAACAGACCUCCUCGACAGUAGUGAUUGGUGUCCAUGGGACUCAGUGAAUGGAAAUGGGUGUCUACAGCAGUUUUGAGGUGCUGUACAGUCAGUUAUUUGGUCACAAGGCUUACACACUACUACAUCCUGCAAACAGCCCUUUUUGUUGUGUUCAAAUGCUAAUGGUGCUAAAAACCAUGAUCCAUUAAAGGGUCAUAUGAUGCGAUUUCAAUUUUUCUUUUCU